UGAAAAGAACCCCGGGAGGGGAGUGAAAUAGAACCUGAAACCCUAUGUUUACAAGCAGACAAAGCACGUUAAGGUGCGAUGUCGUACUUUUUGUAGAACGGUCCGGCGAGUUAUUUUAUAUGGCAAGGUUAAGUACUAAAGGUACGAAGCCGAAGGGAAACCGAGUGUGAAUAGCGCGUAAAAGUCAUAUGAAAUAGACCCGAAACCGAGUGACCUAACCAUGUCCAGGAUGAAGCUUGAGUAAAAUCAAGUGGAGGUCCGAACUCAUAGACGUUAAAAAGUCUCGGGAUGAGGUGUGGUUAGCGGAGAAAUUCCAAUCGAACUCGGAGAUAGCUGGUUCUCCUCGAAAUAGUUUUAGGACUAGCCUUGAGAGAAUAAUGCGCGGGGGUAGAGCACUGAAUGAGCUAGGGGUCAAACCUGAUUACCGAACUCUAUCAAACUCCGAAUACCGUGUAGAGGAAACUCAGGAGUCAGACUGCGGGAGCUAAGUUCCGUGGUCAAAAGGGAAAGAGCCCAGAUCGUCAAUUAAGGUCCCAAAGAUAUAGUUAAGUGGAAAACGAUGUGAUUUUGCGUAAACAACCAGGAUGUUGGCUCAGAAGCAGCCACCCAUUUAAAGAGUGCGUAAUAGCUCACUGGUCGAGUGAAGUUGCGCGGAAAAUUACCGGGGCUAAACUAUACACCGAAUUUGCGGAUUUGUUACUUGAAAGAUAGUAAUAAGUGGUAGAGGAGCAUUCUAAGAGGAAGAAGCAUAACUGAAAGGAUAUGUGGACGAAAUAGAAGAGAGAAUGCCGGAAUAAGUAGCGAAAGCAUAGUGAGAAUCUAUGCCAUCGAAAGUCUAAGGUUUCCUGGGGAAGGUUCGUCCGCCCAGGGUAAGUCGGGACCUAAGGAGAGGCCGAAAAGCGUAUCCGAUGGACAGCAGGUAGAGAUUCCUGCACUACGAUAUAUUUAGAAACUAUAACUGACACAGGAAUGGAAGAUAAGCGAGGAAGAGGAAAAACUCGUAUCGAAAGAUAUAGUGAAAAUAAGUAACGAAUUAUCAAGAAAUACACUGGCGAGAAAAGGUUGUAGAAAUUGUAUAUAGUACCCGUACCGCAAACCGACACAGGUAGAUGAGGAGAAGAUCCUAAGAUGAGCGAGAGAAGCAUUGUUAAGGAACUCGGCAAACUGACCCCGUAACUUCGGAAUAAGGGGUGCUGAAGUAGAAUCCAGUCGCAGAGAAUAGUCCCAAGCAACUGUUUAACAAAAACAUAGGUUUCUGCUAAAUCGAAAGAUGAAGUAUAGGAGCUGACACCUGCCCAGUGCUGGAAGGUUAAGAGGAGAUGUUAGAGUAAUCGAAGCAUUGAAUUCAAGCCCCAGUGAACGGCGGCCGUAACUAUAACGGUCCUAAGGUAGCGAAAUUCCUUGUCAGGUAAG
rnacentral:rRNA from 1 species